CUUUGUUAACAGCCAUGAUUGCUAUCUUAGUUAAGGUGAUGUUAAAAUGAUGUAACAAAGAAAGCCCAAAAGAGAAGGGCUUAAAGAAUAUAGGCAUACAUUUCUCUCAUACAGCACAAUUCCAAAAUCUGUGGGCAGCUCUGCUGCAUAUCAUCAUCCAGGAAUAAAGACCAACAGCAUCUCUGUCAUCCUAACACAGGUCUUCUAAAGUAUGUACAGUAAAGGUUCAGUGGACCAGCUAGGAUAUGACACCACGCCAGGCUUGGGCUCACCUGCAGAAGAUUCUAUCUUUGCAGGCAACUCUCAUCAACUUCCAGAAAAAGAAUACAUUGGCAAGAUACAGGAUCAUUCAGAAAACUGCAGGAAAACUACAGCAUCCAGGCUCUGAAAGGAGCUCCCAGGACAGAAGCAGCAGGAAUCGACUGGAAGUCUU
rnacentral:lncRNA from 1 species